rnacentral:rRNA from 1 species
GAGUUUGAUCGUGGCUCAGAACGAACGCUGGCGGCAGGCUUAACACAUGCAAGUCGAGCGCAUCCUUCGGGGUGAGCGGCAAACGGGUGAGUAACACGUGGGAAUCUACCCAUCCCUGCGGAACAACUCCGGGAAACUGGAGCUAAUACCGCAUACGCCCUUUGGGGGAAAGAUUUAUCGGGGAUGGAUGAGCCCGCGUUGGAUUAGCUAGUUGGUGGGGUAAAGGCCUACCAAGGCGACGAUCCAUAGCUGGUCUGAGAGGAUGAUCAGCCACAUUGGGACUGAGACACGGCCCAAACUCCUACGGGAGGCAGCAGUGGGGAAUAUUGGACAAUGGGCGCAAGCCUGAUCCAGCCACGCG